rnacentral:tRNA from 1 species
GUGGGUAUAGCUCAGUGGUAGAGUGCAUGCUUAGCAUGCACGAGGUCCUGAGAUCAAUCCCCAGUACCUCCA